UUCUUUUCAAUUUAAUUCUAUUUCUUUGGAUGAUUGGUUGUUUAGAAAUUGUGUCGGGCGAUGUAGUGUAUAAUAAAGUAGGAAAACAAACUAAAUUAAUGAUAAUAAUAAAAUUUCAAGUUCUAAUGAUGUGCAUUUGUGAUAGCUAAUGAAAAAGAUUAUAUUUAUUCAUGAACGUAGCGAAAAGCAACAACAAAAAAGUGAACAAAGGCAAAGCGAUAAACGAGUCGGUAAAUUUUAAAAGCUAAGUUUAUCUUAGGACUUUUGAAUAUAAAAAAAAAUAUUAAAAACAAGAAGAUCUUUGUAGUGAAUUUUCUUUAAUACGAGGACUUUCUUUUGCUCAAGACUGCAGUAGUUAAUUGUGCAAAAUUUCGUGAACAACAAUUCAAAGGAAGAAUAAGGAUUCGAAAGCGAAAUGGCAGCGGAGGGUUUACGUCAGUGUCUGCUGCUAUGGAGCGUCGAUUAUUGGAACUUAGAAGUUAUGGCCGACGGCGCUUUCAAGUCGCGUGACAUUGGCUUGCGUGCCCAGAAGAAGAUCCUCUCGCGCAUGGCCACCAAGAAUAUAGCGAAAACAUUUAUUGAUGGUACAACCGCAUCGCUUCUUGAUAACUUAUAUCGCCUUUGUAAAAUGCAUACUGGCAACAAAGUUAAAGCGGAAAAGCUGAUAAAAAAUAUAAUAAAAAUUGUUAUCAAAAUUGGUGUUCUACAUCGAAAUAAUCAAUUUAGUGCCGAGGAACUGAAGGAUGCGGAAGUAUUUAAGCGAAAAUUCCAAAAUACCCAACUCUCGGUGAUUUCCUUCUAUGAAGUGGAUUACAGCUUCGAUCUGCCGUAUCUGCAAAAAUCCAUUGCCGAAUCACAUGCCGCCCUAAAGUCAAUUGUUCAACGACAUCUUACCGAAAAGUCGCUAAAUCGUAUCGAUGAAGUGUUCGAUUUUUUCAGAGAUACCACUCUAUUAGAGGCCGCCUUCAAACCCGACUCACAAUAUCGCGAAUUGAUGGGAAAGAUCGUCAGCGACAUAAAUACUGCCAUGGAAACGGGAGAUAUGACUGCAAGAAACUUUAAAUUCGAAAAGGUGCGAAGAUGUGUGAGCAAAUGGCAUAUAUUCAAGUGGAAGUCAGGUCGUUAGUAUGGAACAAGAAACCAAAAAUUAAUGUAAAAAUAAAUAAAAUUAGAAAGAAAAUGAAAAUGAAAAGGCACUUUUAUCAACUACGCUUGUUUUAAAUAUGGCUACAAAUAACACAUUAAAAUUAUGAUCCUGAAGAUAGAUGUUGAUAAUAAUACUGAGAUCAUUGUCACUAAUGUUAACAUCGUUAUGGAUAACUGUAUUGAUAACAAAGACGAUAAUUUUUAUUAUAAGCUAAACAAAAAAAAAAAAAAGAAACAAUUUUCGAUCGAUUAUUUUUCUAUGGUGAUAUUAAAUAAAUAAAGAAUAAUAUUUGAAGACACAUUGAGAGACGGUUAACCUGCUGAGGUGUUGAAAAUGUGCGACAAGUUGUGAGGCGAUAGAUGAAACUCAGUGAUGAAUAUGUGAAACACGAAGAAUAUUUUCGUUCAUUGAAAGAUUGUCUUUGAAAUUUUUCAAUUACAGUGUGUCGUUGAUGAAACACAGAAGACCUUUUUUUUUCUUUCUUAAUAAGAGCUAGCAAUUAUUAUCUAAUAAACUACUUCAAACAAAGUAGAAAAUUACAAAUUACAACCCACAAUCGCUUAAGAUAUUUUCGUCCAAAGGACCCAAAGCUAAGCACUGUCCUUGUACUACGUCAUUCCAGAUUUCAUAGACCAAGUGUUAAAAGUUAUAGUCUUAAACAAAUUACGGAAUAUUGAAUUUCGUUCUUUAUACACAAUAAAUGCCUUGGAUACGGGAGCUCCAAAUGAAUUGAAUGAAAAUAUUCUUCGUGUUAACAGCAGAAUCGCAAUAUUAAUAUGGCGUCCUGUUUGAUUAUUGACUGCUGUAUGUUGUAUCAACUGUUUUGUUAUUAUGUAUUUUGUAGACAAAUAAGAUAGGAAGCUACUUAUUACAGCUACAGAUUUCCGUAAAGUAUUGUGUUUGUCAUGGCUGGAUGUACCAAUUCGUAAUAAAAGACAAAGAACCAAAUAAAUUAAGCAAAUCAACAAAUAA
rnacentral:misc_RNA from 1 species